AAAAUAUUUUGGCAAAACUACAGUGAUGUAGUGACGCAAAGCCAUGGGUCUAAUCGCUUAUCUUAGUCGAUCAGAUCGCCAGGUUGCCCAU
rnacentral:ncRNA from 1 species